AUGUGUGGGCACAUUUCCCUUGUGCUAUCCAGGAAGGGCUAAUGAUUGGAAGGAAAACGUCAGCCCUUCUCAAGCAGCAAAAUAACAGCACCUUCUGUUUCCCCUGAAUCCACAUGAGUGUGGUGCUGUGAAAGAGGUCGCUGGCUGGUGUUGAGGGUGCCUCCGUGCCAGGGAGCACUCAAAGCUACAGACAUUCACCUGCGAAUGGUCAUGGACCUGACCGGCUGUUUUCUCUGCAUUUCUCCCCUGGCUAAAGAUGUGUUGCUGGGUAAAGUGAUUCUCAGACUUGACCUCCUGCUGCCCUGCUCCCACCCUGGAAUGGAGCAGGUGCCAGGUGGACAUGGCUGCAGGUGCUGUGGGAGGUGAGUCGUGCAGCCACAGGGGAAAACGUUUCAGGAUCCAGUGUCCGUCCUUCAAAGUUGCUUCUAACAAGGAAACCGCUGCCUAAUCACCGGCACCUGUCAAAUUGGAAUCUCAGCCAUCAGCCUGUAAGCUGGAUCUGGGAGGCUUUGUUUCUGGAGACUUCUGCUUUCUUUGGAAGGCAGGCUCAAACCUGAUCCUCUAUACAACGGUCCCGAGUUAAAUCUGGCCAGUCUGAAAAGCCAGCCAUGCUGGCGAGUGCAUGAAAAUCCUGCUUCAAAGGCAGAGAGCCGGGCUCCACGCGACAUUCCGCACCUUCCUCAGGGUGGCUUCUCCUUCUCCCUGGCCUCGUACCCUAGAACUUAAAGUAUAAUAAAAAAAUAAAAAAUAAAAAAGGAAGAAAACCUGCAUCAUCAAUGAAAGAAACGUCUAGUUUGUCUAAUUCUAUUGUUUAUCUUUAUUUUUCUAUUUUUCUCUGUCCCUGAAUUUUAAAACUUGUUUUCCCGUGUAUAGAUAGCAGCUCUGAACACUGAAAUUCUGAGAUUAUGUUGAGAAAGACAACCAGUAAAAAAAACCAACAAGAAGCUUCAGUAGCAAAAUGUUAAGGGUGCAUUUUUCGGUUUCAUUCAGUAUUUCUAGUCUCUUUAACAGUAAACCUAAGAAAUUACCUCCUGCAAUAGAAGUAGCAUUGAUAAAAAAAAUAAUGUUUGCAACUUCUCCUGAGUUUGAAGAAGUACAAGAAAAUUUAAUGUGGAUGAAUACAAUUCCUGAAUCUUUUUUUAAAAAGGAAAACUGUUCAUGAUGAUAUAUUUGCAAAACCUUCCAAAAAUGAGUUUUGUUAGAGAAUAAUACACUCCUGUACUCUGUAUUUUAAGUUUCAUAAAACAAGGCAUAAACUUUUAAAGAUUAUUUUAGAGGUUUUCCGGAAAAUAUGCGAGAUAAUUGCCUUUCUCCUACGCAAAACUAAGCUCACUGCCUUGUGCUUUUUGUGACAAAUUAUAAGUAAUAGAACAAAGCCUUCAAAACUGCCAUUGUAGCAGAAGAGCGUUUGGAACAAGAACAUAGACUAUGGGUGGGAAUAGUGGUUUUAGUUUUAAAACUAUUUACACACAGAAAUUUUAUUAAAACCUGCUUUUUUCUCAUACAAAAUAAAAGUGUGAACCGGGAAUCUGUCAGGUGCGUCCUGCUCCGCCAGCAGGCAUCUGGAAGAAAUCACCUCGCCUUUCGUCACUCAAUUUCUCUCUAAAUUGUACCUGUAAGCAGACUAGAAUUAUGCUGUUUAUUGGCAACACAAAGAGUGCUCGGCGGAAACAGAACUUGCCCGCAGCAGCCACUUUCAGUAAGGAAGCUCGGCGGAUCUUCUAACCACUCCUGGUGCAGAGUGCAUGUCGAUCACCCAUUAUCUGUCCCACAGACACGGGGGACAUGAUUAUUCUCCUGAGGAACCCAGGGCCAUGGCUGCAUUCUUAUUUUUAAAGUAAAGUGACUUAUAGUUAAUUUUUUAAAACACCUUUUUAUUUUAAGGGGAGAAAAGGACAUUUUGCUCUCACAACAGAGAGUGACCUUUUGUUGUCUGAAAGCUCUG
rnacentral:lncRNA from 1 species